CGGAACGGGUGAGUAACGCGUGAGGAACCUGCCUCAAAGAGGGGGACAACAGUUGGAAACGACUGCUAAUACCGCAUAAGCCCACGGCUCGGCAUCGAGCAGAGGGAAAAGGAGCAAUCCGCUUUGAGAUGGCCUCGCGUCCGAUUAGCUAGUUGGUGAGGUAACGGCCCACCAAGGCGACGAUCGGUAGCCGGACUGAGAGGUUGAACGGCCACACUGGGACUGAGACACGGCCCAG
rnacentral:rRNA from 1 species